UAGAAUUGUUGUUGCCUAGCGUACGUGGUGGCACAUGAGUGGUGAAUGGAUCGUUCGGUUUGGUUGGCUCCUUGCUCACGUGCAACGAACUAUCAAGCCUCGAUCCUCUUCAUUUGAAAGCCCCGAUGCCUUGUGCACUUCGGGGAACGGAUGGUUCCUGUGUUGAUUACCCACUAUGGAGGAAAUCAAUUGUUCGUUUGAUCUUUAUUCGCUCUUUCUUCUUUUUAAGAAAAAGGGCGGACCAAGUAGUUUUGCCUGUGUUCCAAGCAUGCUGAAAUCGGUUGCUAUGGCCUAUGGGCAAAUACUCGUGCUCUCGGGUGCAGAAAGUCAUGAGGGCGGACGAGACACUCUUGUCCAUUUGCCCAAUUGUUCCUUGAAAUGAACGAUGUCCGUUCUCGUGUUGAUUUGGUCAUUACCUUUGGGAAUGAUGCGGUCAAUCGAGUUUCGGUGUCGAGAAGGAA
rnacentral:misc_RNA from 1 species